AUUUCCAACAUUUGAUUUCCAGAACUUGAGGUUUCGCGGCAAAGACUCGAUUUUGGUUGGAAUUUUCAGGAAAUUAGGGUUUUUGAGCUCGAUCUGAUUCGAUAAUUCUUGAAUUAGGGUUUCUUUUCCAGAAUUGUGGGUUUCUUUAUGGAAUUUUUAUAGAAUUUUUAGAUCCUAGACGCCUUUAUUGUGAGGUGUGAAUUGAAUACUGCAUCUGUAUCAUCUAUUCUGGUAUAAUUUUUUUUUUUUAAAGUCCUUGUUCCCAAUUUUAAGCCAAACCGUUCUUGUUUCAAUCGAUGGCUCUCAAGACCGAAACAUUAUGAGAAGUGAUCAAUAGAUUUUUUGACGAUGGAACUGAUGUACUUGUAUCGAGAUAUUGCAGUGUUGUGGAUACCAUACUAGGAUAAGUUAGGUUUCACAUGUGCUAUGUGAAGCAUUUGCCAAAAAAAAUAAACAUGAAUGGUGAAUGCUGAGUAAAUUCUUGUUUGCUUCUUUGUUGAAGCUUGGAUUGCUUCUUCUUUAUCGGGGAUGGCUGAUGAUUCUGUAAGGAAAGAGCCACUUGAUGUUGAUGCUGAUGUUAAUGAAGCAAAGGAUACUCAGCUGAAUGGGAAUAAUACACCACCUGUAGGUGAUAAAACAUCUCAGGAGCUGCUGCUGAGUGUAUCCCCCACUAAGGAAUCCUUACAGGGUGAGGAUAACGACGAAGUAAUGACUGUUGAAGAUAAUGGUCAUGAUAUUGAGAAAAAGGAUGCCGCUGAGGUUGAAGGGGAUCAUGAAGCAAAUGUAGGGGAUGACAAGACACCUCGGGUUGGGAUGGUUUUCAAAUCAUAUGAUGAAGUUUCUAGUUUCUAUAAGCAGUAUGCUCUGCAUGAAGGCUUUGGUGUAGCUGUAAGAAAGUCACAAUUUACAAAAUCUGGAGUAUGUAGAAGGUUGAUACUUGCAUGUUCCAAGGCAGGCCAUGGCCGACAAGAUGCCUGCUAUCAAGCUAGACAGACUGCGAAAACAAACUGUCAGGCGAUGAUUGUAUUAAAAUUACAGGGUGAUGGCUUGCUUCAUUUGGCAGAAGCUAAUCUUGAGCAUAAUCAUCCAGUCAGCCCGUCAACAGCACGUUUCUUGAGCUGUUAUAAGAAAAUGACUGAUGCAAUGGCAGAAGGACCUGUUGCAUGGCCAAAUGGACAUAGAAAUGUUCAGUCUGAGAGUGAACUCAGAAGCUCUACCGAGAUAGGGCGAUUGAAGCUUGGGGAAGGAGAUGAUGAAGCUAUUUGUCAAUUUUUUACAGGCAUGCAAAACAAGAAUCCAAAUUUCUUUUACUUAGUAGAUGUAGACAAGCAUGGUCGUUUGAGGAAUCUGUUUUGGGCUGAUGCCAGAUCUAGAGCAGCAUAUCGAUACUUUGGUGAUGUCAUUUCCUUUGAUACAACCUACUUAACUGAAAAAUAUGAUUUGCCUCUUGUUUUGUUCGUUGGUAUGAACCAUCAUGGACAAUCAGUGCUGUUGGCAUGUGGUUUAGUUUCAGAUGAAACAAUUGAGACCUAUAUUUGGUUAUUUAAGGCAUUCCUAACAUGUAUGCUAGGGUGCUUUCCAACUGCUAUCAUCACUGACCAUUGUAAGGCCAUACAGGGUGCAGUUGUGGAGGUUUUUCCUGGAGUUAGACAUCGUCUAUGCAUGUUUCAUGUAAUGAAAAAGAUUCCAGAGAAAUUGAGGGGUUUUGCUGAAUUUAAAGCAGUCAAGAAGGCAAUAAAAAAGGCAUCAUAUGACUCUUCAAGAGUCAAUGAGUUUGAACAAGAUUGGCAAAAAAUGACCAAGGUACAUGGUCUCGAAGGUAAUGAAUGGCUUGACUCAUUAUAUGAAAACCGGCACCUAUGGGUGCCAGCUUAUCUUAAAGAUGCCUUUUGGGCAGGAAUGUCCAUUUCUCAACGUGGUGAGAGUACAACUGCCUUUUUUGAUGGGUGUAUAUAUCCAAAAACUAAUUUAAAGCAGUUUCUCAAUAAAUACGAGAUGAUCGUACAAAGUAAGUACAAAAAGGAGGCACAAGCAGACUCAGAAUCGUUUCAUAAGACUCCACUCACCAUAUCGAAAUUUUACAUGGAAGAACAGCUCUCCAAAUUGUACACUGUUAACAUGUUCCGGAAAUUUCAAGAUGAGCUAAAAGCCACUAUGUAUUGUGAUGCUUCACCAAUAAAGGUUGAUGGAUCACUUAUUACCUUUGAAGUUAGAGAGUGUUCAUAUAUGGAAGAUGGUAAAAGGACAGAGAAGAAGGAUCAUGAGGUUCUAUAUGAUGAAGAUAAAGUUCAAGUGCAAUGCAUUUGUGGAUCAUUUCAGUUCAGGGGCAUUUUAUGCAGACAUGCUCUAUCUGUUUUCAAGUUGCAGCAAGUGUUUGAGAUUCCAUCUCAUUACAUUCUUGAUCGUUGGAAAAAAGACUAUAAACAAUUACAUGCUCUUGCUCAUCCUUCGCAUGACAUGCUACCUGAUAAUAUAAUGGAGCGUUAUGAUUAUCUAUCCAUGCGCUGCCUUCAGCUUGCUGAGCUAGGGUUCUUAUCUGAUGAUAGGUUCCAGGUUGCAUUGAAGUUGAUAAGAGAGGUAGAGAAGUCUCUUUUAGAUGAUGGCUCGUGCAGAGACAGGCAACCUUAUAUUCUAUCUUUUGAAACUCAGCCAAAUGAACAUGUUCAAAACCUAUUGGUAUCACAACUGGGUGUAUCUGACAGCAAUAAGAAUUCUAACUCUUUGCAAGCGAGACGGAGAGGUCGGCCACCAAAAAAAGGGAGAGAACCCCAAGUAGAGUCAUUAGUUCAAUUGAGUAAGGAACAGGAUUUUCUAAGAUCAUCAUUAGUUGGCAAUGAAAACAAUAUGCUUCAAUCUGCUCCACUUGCUUCGCAUCUUGACACUCAUAUAGGGACACAAGGAGGAAUUGAUCUAAUGGAAGAAGUUCCCCCAGAUGACUUGUCAUUUGGCAGUCGUUUCAGCAUCCAUGUUAAUCACCAGCAUCAUAUGGGCAAUCAAACAAGGCUGCAGUCAAGCAAUUUGCUGCAGGGUCAGUAUGACCAUCAAACAGUUGGAAGUCAGUCAAGGGUGCAGUGGAUUUAUCAACAAAUGUUUCAGGGAUUUUAUAAACAUGAUACAAUUGCAGGAGGAUCAGAUGCCAAACGCACAUUCUGACCGAAGGAGGUAGAGGAUGUGGGUUUAAGUUGCAAAAUGCAAACCCAGGUGAGCACACAAAUCCAGCAUUUAUGCUCUAAGGAACGUGCACAUGCAAAGGCUUUUUGAGAAUAUCUCUAUGGAACACUUAUCUUCUGGUUUAAAGGCUGAGGAGGAAAAGAUGGGAAAACUCGGUGAAGAUGUUUAACGAUAAGGAAUAUGACCCUCAGGAUUUGUGCACCGACAUUCCUGCUUGCUGAUGGUGUUCAGCAGCGUGGCCAACCUCUAGUUCCCAAGGAGUCUGGAUUGAACUUCAGGAAAUUCAGAACCAGUUGCCACUGAAAGAUAUAAUGGUAGAUAAGCUAACUAAGAGAUACAAGUUAGAGGCUACACUUUGCAACUGAAAUAUUCAAUAACAAUGCAGCAGGAAGCAUUUGCAUAGAAAAUGCCUAUUUACUGACUCAGUUUCGUUAAUCUUACCUUCUUCUUCUUCUUCUUCUUCUUUUGAGUAUGGCAACAUGCUUAGCUCUGAUCUUAGCCAGAAUGAUUUAUCAUUGUAUCUUUGAAAUGGUUGUCUUCAAUGUGAAGAUGAUAUGUUCUUACAUUUAUAUAUAUAUAUAUAUUUGUGAUUAAUAUUCAUGAAAUGCACAGAACAGUAUUAUA